GAUGAACGCUAGCGGGAGGCUUAACACAUGCAAGUCGAGGGGCAGCAUAGGGUAGCAAUACUCUGAUGGCGACCGGCAAACGGGUGAGUAACGCGUAUGCAACCUACCCUGUACAGGGGGAUAACCCGGAGAAAUUCGGACUAAUACUCCCGUAAUAAUAUCCGGAGGCAUCUUUGGAUAUUUAAAGUUCCGACGGUACGGGAUGGGCAUGCGUAACAUUAGCUUGGUUGGUAAGGUAACGGCUUACCAAGGCUAUGAUGUUUAGGGGUCCUGAGAGGGUGGUCCCCCACACUGGUACUGAGACACGGACCAGACUCCUACGGGAGGCAGCAGUGAGGAAUAUUGGUCAAUGGGCGCAAGCCUGAACCAGCCAUCCCGCGUGCAGGAAGACGGCCCUAUGGGUUGUAAACUGCUUUUCCAGGGAGAGAAACUUACGCACGUGUUGCGUGACUGACGGUACCCUGGGAAUAAGCAUCGGCUAACUCCGUG
rnacentral:rRNA from 1 species